GAGGAGGACGCUUGCUGGGAUGAGCACUGGGUGUUGUAUGUAAGCGAUGAAUCACGGGAAUCUACCCCCAAAACCAAGAGCACACUGUAUACACUCUAUGUCAGCCAACUUGACAAUAAAUUACAUUUUUUUAAUUAAUUUUUGACCCUAAUAAUACUAGCAAGCAGUUUUUAUUUUCUUAUCUGGAGAUAACGUGUAUUUCUCACUCAUAGUGGUAUGUCAGUUAUCUAAGUCACGUAUCAUAUUUUUCUAACUGCAUUAUUAACCGUGGAAUGUUUGCAGGUAUCCCUUCAAGAGAGGAAAGUGUGUCUGACUAGGGUUUAACUUCAGAGUUCUGGAAGUGUCCAGAACAUGCCAAGAGAUCACAAUGAGCCUAUCUAUAGCAGUUAAUGGGGGGGACAUCACUGGUAUUAAGGUAAGUGCUGCUCUGGCCCUAACCCAUGACACAGACCGUCUGAUCUUCGUGUAUUUAGGUAAGUGAUGACAUGUGCUGCCACUUUUUAUUACCAUGAUUUUGUUGCAGGUAUUCAGGUAAGAAGGAAGAAUCUUGCCAAUUCUAGAGACUGUAAAUUAAGAGAUAGUCGUGUCUCUACUGGUGAGAUCAGCCUACCUAAGGUUACUGGUAGACUUAAUGAGUCCCGCAGUGAUACAAGGGACAAGGUUCUUACCAGGGUCCAGGUAAUAAAAGUGUUGUCAUAUCACAUCUGUUCAAGUGUGUUUUUCAGGUCACUGUUAAGAUACGACGGUAAGCUAAGCUUCAUAAAGAUGAUGAAAGGGAUUUUGUUUGUAUCCGGGUAAGUGAUGAUGAUAGCCUUUUCCAUGCAAUAGACCAUCUAAUAUUCAAUAUCUAUGUAAGUACGGAUGGUGCUCCUAGCUUUGUGUUGCUGGGUUUUUUUUGUGUUUUUUGCAAGUAUUCGGCUAAGAAAUGAUAUUGUUAGUCAAUGCUAGUAAGCAUUAGCCCUUUCUUUAAAAUUUUUUAAAUUUAUUUGUUUUGAGAGAGAGCGCGAGCAUGAGCGCAGGAAGGGCGGAAAGCGGGAGAGAGAAAGAAUCCCAAGCAGGAUCUGCAGUGUCAGCACGGAGCCCGAUGCAGGACUCGAACUCACGAAGCAUGAGAUCAUGACCUGAGCCGAAAUCAAGAGUAGGACGUUUAACUGAGCCCCCCAGGUGCCCCAGCCCUUAUUAUUUUAAAGCUUAGAUACAACAUUUGUAAAACCUCAGUAGUGACAGAGAUAACACAAGUGUCCAGGUAAGUUACUGACCAUCUCCUGUUUAUUGACCAUGGAUUCUUACACUAGUCUUGUAGAGACAGUAUUGUGUCUCUAACUGGAGGCUGACCUUGAACUCUGCAAGUUUCUAGGUAGAUUUGAUAGGCCUCAUAAAUUCGAUGGGAUUUUGCAGGUGUUCAGGUAAUACAUGUAUUCCUAACACAGUUUUUGCCAUGAAUUUUUGUAGAACCCAAUCAAGAGAUAAUGGAAGGCCUUACAUCCUCUCUUGAUCAGAUACCAGAAAAAUCCCAAAUUACCUACUGUGGUCACAAAGAGCACUGGGUGAUGUAUGGAAUUGUUGAAUCACUGUAUUGUAUGCCUGAAAUUAAUAUUAUACUGCAUGUUAACUUUACUGGAAUUAAAAUUUAAAAAAUACAUAUAUAAGGGGAUUCAAACACAAUCCCAGUGAAAAAAUGACCUAUUCAAGUCAUGGACAAGAUUUUCCAUUUUCAAUAGCUGCCUAUGAAAAAAAUCUUGCUCUAAUUCCUAAAAUGAGAAAAAGCAAAAAAUAAAAUCGAAUGAAUGAAUGAAUGAAUGAAUUAGUAAAUAAAUCAAUACAUAUUGUUGUCAGUUGAACCAUCAUCUCUUGAUUUGUAUUUUUACAGACACCCGCUCAAGAGGAGAUCAUGUCUCUAUUCCAGGGUCUUGUCCCUGGAGUUUUUCAGGUGUCCAGGUAAUGUGUCCCUAAUCCAGAUAACGAUCAUGGGAUUUUGCAGUUAUCCAAGCAAGAGACGACAUGCCCCUGCCAUGAUCUUGAUUCCCCUGCACGUGUCUAGGUAUCCACACUUUUAAGGUAUUCUGGGAAGAGAUGAUGAUGGUCCUAACCACACUAAUGACGGCAGAAAUUUGCACAUAUCCACUCAAGAGACGAUGGCAUCUCCGUCAACAUUGGUGGCUGUGGAGAUGGAAGAAAUGGAAUGCUUUUUUUUUUUUUUUUUGCAACUAUAUAAUUUGUUAAAAGAAUUUUGACAUUCAAUGACUAGUAAAUGUUAUUCA